rnacentral:tRNA from 1 species
AUUAAAUUAGUUUAAUAUAAAACAAUAUAUUUUCAAUAUAUAAUUUUUUUAAAAAAAAUUUAAUU